UCACCUACCACUUGAACAAGAGACAGAACAGUUACAAUUGCACAAAAGAAAAGUUUGCUUCAUUCCAUUGUCUAUAAGAGGGAACUGUGUUAACUAUCAUGGUUGCAGAAAUCAGCUGUGUAGAAGUCUAACAAGGAUUGUCAUCAAAGGUGGCUGAGAAGGACAGCAACUGUCUGUAUGGUUCAACCAUGAGCCAAAGAAUGACACAGCUGAGAAGUGAAAAUCACAAGCAUGCUAAAGGGGUUGAGAUUCUCAGUUCCUGAAGACUGCCCCCUUAGGCUGUAAAGGUGCAACAAACUGGAGGAAAAUUACAACUCUUAUUUUUGAAUGCUUUCCAUCCCCUUUCUUCUUUCCAACUUUUUUUUUCUAUGCAAACAGAGAAAUAUAUUUUUCCUAGUGUAAAGUAACCAUGGAGUAUAAGAAUUUCUUUUGAUUCAGAAUCCAGAACUGAAUAGAAUUGCUAUAGUCAUUUGUUAUUAACUUCAACAGCUCUCAGCCACAAACAGCUGUUGUUGCAAAUGUAGUCUGUGAAUUGUCCAUUUUUCAGACAAAGUUUAAAUGCCCAUGUAGUUAAAUACCAACAGCUCACAUUGGUUGUGUAAACCCUGUAGUAAACACAGUUUGUCAGUCUGUUUUCCCAACUGUGCAUUUGAAUGCACAGUUGAGAAAACCCUCUAAAUAUGUUCUCCUUCCUUCCUAUUACAUGUGCUCUCUAGACUAAAGAAGCAUUCAGUAUGUUGGGC